rnacentral:rRNA from 1 species
GACGAACGCUGGCGGCGUGCCUAACACAUGCAAGUCGAACGGGGUGUUGAGAGCUUGCUCUUAACACUUAGUGGCGAACGGGUGAGUAACGCGUGAGAAACCUGCCUUUCAGUGGGGGACAACAGUUGGAAACGACUGCUAAUACCGCAUAAUAUCUUCUAGGGGCAUCCCUUAAAGAUCAAAGCUUUAUGUGCUGAAAGAUGGUCUCGCGUCUGAUUAGCUAGUUGGUGAGGUAACGGCCCACCAAGGCGACGAUCAGUAGCCGGCCUGAGAGGGUGAACGGCCACAUUGGGACUGAGACACGGCCCAAACUCCUACGGGAGGCAGCAGUGGGGAAUAUUGCACAAUGGGGGGAAACCCUGAUGCAGCAACGCCGCGUGAGUGAAGAAGUAUUUCGGUAUGUAAAGCUCUAUCAGCAGGGAAGAAAAUGACGGUACCUGACUAAGAAGCCCCGGCUAACUACGUG